rnacentral:rRNA from 1 species
AGGACGAACGCUGGCGGCGUGCUUAACACAUGCAAGUCGAACGAGGCCCUGCCUUCGGGCAGGUGACCUAGUGGCGAACGGGUGAGUAACACGUGGGCAACCUACCCUCAGCUCUGGGAUAACCCCGGGAAACCGGAGCUAAUACCGGAUAUGACCUAGAACGACAUCGUUCUUGGUGGAAAGUUUUUCGGCUGAGGAUGGGCCCGCGGCCUAUCAGCUUGUUGGUGGGGUAAUGGCCUACCAAGGCGACGACGGGUAGCCGGCCUGAGAGGGCGAUCGGCCACACUGGGACUGAGACACGGCCCAGACUCCUACGGGAGGCAGCAGUGGGGAAUAUUGCGCAAUGGGCGAAAGCCUGACGCAGCGACGCCGCGUGAGGGAUGAAGGCCUUCGGUUGUAACCUCUUUCAGCAGGGACGAAGCGAAAGUGACGGUACUGCAGAAGAAGCACCGGCAACUACGCGCAGCAGCCGC